UUUUAUGUAUUUGUUAAAAAAUUACUAGAAUAAAUUUUAGAUAUUAUAAAAUCUUGAAAAUAUUUAUUAAUAAAUUAAUAGUAAAUUAAAUUUGUAUACUUUUAAAGUCAACACGUGUAUUACACUACCAUCACUAAAAGUACCAACACAAAUAUUGUAAUGUAUUUGUGUUGGUACAACUUAAGCUUCGUUUCUAUAUAAGCAGAUACAAUACAUUAUAAGGGCACAACGAAAGUUUUACAAGUGACGCAUGUGCAUAUAUGAUUAUUUCUUUGUGAGAAAAACAGAGUGGAAUAGGGAAUAUACUCUUUUGAUCUUUUUUCUGUAGAUUCUUCUAUAUUUAAGGUAUUAAUGGACUUCUCUCUAAGAAUAAAAAUUCCAUAAGCUAUAUCUUUCCAAUUUAAAUCACGUAACAUAGAUGCAUCCAUUACGUAUUUGUACACAACCUAUUUAAAAUACAUCCUACAUGAGAGAAAAAAUUUAUUUUCAACAGCGAUUUCAUAUGAUUUUUUUAUUUUAUGAUAAUCUUAAGUAAUAGUAAUAAUUAUAAUAAAUAAUUUUAUUAACGAAUCAGAUAAUUUAAGGAAAAUAUAAUUUUUUAAAUUUCUUAGAAAUUCCGAUCCUAUGUCUGAAUAAUUAAUACAAUGAAAUAAAAGUUUCUCUAUAAACCUGUUGAUAUUAAUAUCACUCAAGAAAUAUUAACAUCUUGUUAAAUAAUUUCUGCAAAAAAGAAAUAUAAUACUUUUGAAAAAAUGGAACCCAUAAAACCCAUGAAGUUAAUGGUACGUUCGUUAGCAUCAUUUGUAAUUCUUGCAAGUGUAAUACACUCUGUUUGGUAUCUUUUUCGAGAAAAAUAUGUA